rnacentral:rRNA from 1 species
AGAGUUUGAUCAUGGCUCAGGAUGAACGCUGGCGGUCUGCUUAACACAUGCAAGUCGAACGGAAGUAGCAAUACUUUAGUGGCGGACGGGUGAGUAACGCGUGAGAAUCUACCUUCAGGACGGAGACAACAGUUGGAAACGACUGCUAACCCCCGAUGUACCGCAAGGGCAAAUAUUUAUAGCCUGAAGAAGAGCUCGCGUCCGAUUAGCUAGUUGGGGGGGUAAAAGCCCACCAAGGCGACGAUCGGUAGCUGGUCUGAGAGGACGAUCAGCCACACUGGGACUGAGACACGGCCCAGACUCCUACGGGAGGCAGCAGUGGGGAAUUUUCCGCAAUGGGCGCAAGCCUGACGGAGCAAGACCGCGUGGGGGAGGAAGGCUCUUGGGUUGUAAACCCCUUUUCUCUGGGAAGAACAAAAUGACGGUACCAGAGGAAUCAGCAUCGGCUAACUCCG